rnacentral:snRNA from 1 species
CCUCUUACCUGGCAGGGGAGAUACCAUGAUCACGAAGGUGGUUUUCCCAGGGCGAGGCUCAUCCAUUGCACUCCAGAUGUGCUGACCCCUGCAAUUUCCCCAAAUGUGGAAAACUUGACUGCAUAAUUUGUGGUAGUGGGGGACUGCGUUCCCCGCUCUCCCCUG